rnacentral:misc_RNA from 1 species
UUAAGUUCAGCGGGUAUCCCUACCUGAUCCGAGGUCAACCUGGAAAAAAGUUUUGGUUGAUCGGCAAGCGCCGGCCGGGCCUACAGAGCGGGUGACAAAGCCCCAUACGCUCGAGGACCGGACGCGGUGCCGCCGCUGCCUUUCGGGCCCGUCCCCCCGGGAAGGGGGACGAGACCCAACACACAAGCCGGGCUUGAGGG